CACGUAGGAGGCGGACGUUAUCCGGAUUUACUGGGCGUAAAGCGCGUGUAGGUGGUUUGGUAAGUAGGGCGUGAAAGCUCCUGGCUCAACUGGGAGAGGCCGUUCUAAACUGCCGAACUAGAGGAUGGUAGAGGGAGGUGGAAUUCCGGGUGUAGCGGUGGAAUGCGCAGAUAUCCGGAGGAACACCAGUGGCGAAGGCGGCUUUCUGGCCAGUUACUGACGCUCAUGCGCGAAAGCUGGGGUAGCGAACCGG
rnacentral:rRNA from 1 species